rnacentral:rRNA from 1 species
CAAUAGCGUAUAUUAAAGUUGUUGCAGUUAAAAAGCUCGUAGUUGGAUUUCUGGUCUGAGCGUCCGGUCCGCCGCUGUGCGGUGUGUACUUGGUUCGACUCGGGCCAUCCUUGUAGGGAAUUCUUCUGGCAUUAAUUUGUCGGGGGCGGGAACUGCAUCGUUUACUGUGAAAAAUUAAGAGUGUUCAAAGCAGGCGUUUGCUUGAAUAUAUUAGCAUGGAAUAAUGGAAUAGGACGCUGGUUCUAUUUGUUGGUUUUGUAGAACCAGAGUAAUGAUUAAUAGGGACGAGUUGGGGGCGAUUCAUAUUUCUAUUGUUCAGAGGUGGAAAUUACUUGGAUUUAUUGAAAGAAUGAACUUCUUGCGAAAGCAUUUGUCCAACGGAUGUUUUCUAUUAAUCAAGAACGAAAGUUAAGGGGAGUCGAAGACGAUUAGAUACCAU